UUGGUUCAGCCCAGAUUGAUCAAAUCUUGCAUGAAAUGUCUUUCAUAGCUGACCAAAAUUCAUUUCCCACGUUGGUUAGCAAUUUCUUAUUCUUUUUUUUUUUUUUUUUCAGGGCCCGUAACAGACAGCUCAAAUACACGCCAGAGCAUAUGCACUGUACAUCUUUGUUUUGGAAUCCACUGACACCUCAAGGCAAAGGUCUGCUGGCCAUUCAGUCCGUCUCUCAAGUUCAGUCUGGAUUUAGGCUGGAUUUCGAUUUGGACAAGUCGACUCAGAUUGUCAAGAAACUCAAAUUAGUCGACACGCCGUUACAGAUUUACCGCAAAACGGCCUUCAUCUAGGGCAUAUAAAUAUCGUAUAUAAUAUAAAUAUAAAUACCGUAUACGGUAUUUGGCGAGCGUCCUUUGGCCACUUCCUUUUUUAUGCGACUAUUUUUCAAGAAUGUACUGUAUUGGAGAAAAUAACUUGUUGGACCCAUCUAGAUUGUUAAGAUGUUCACUGCUUGCUGAUUAAAUUUUUAUAACACCACACCUGGCUUGCCCUAUAACACGCCACCACAAACUCCAUUUGAGAUCAGAGAUCAAUAAAUAUUACUAUCUAGCGUA